AGCGUACACGGUGGAUGCCCUGGCAGUCAGAGGCGAUGAAGGACGUGCUAAUCUGCGAUAAGCGUCGGUAAGGUGAUAUGAACCGUUAUAACCGGCGAUUUCCGAAUGGGGAAACCCAGUGUGUUUCGACACACUAUCAUUAACUGAAUCCAUAGGUUAAUGAGGCGAACCGGGGGAACUGAAACAUCUAAGUACCCCGAGGAAAAGAAAUCAACCGAGAUUCCCCCAGUAGCGGCGAGCGAACGGGGAGCAGCCCAGAGCCUGAAUCAGUGUGUGUGUUAGUGGAAGCGUCUGGAAAGGCGCGCGAUACAGGGUGACAGCCCCGUACACAAAAAUGCACAUGCUGUGAGCUCGAUGAGUAGGGCGGGACACGUGGUAUCCUGUCUGAAUAUGGGGGGACCAUCCUCCAAGGCUAAAUACUCCUGACUGACCGAUAGUGAACCAGUACCGUGAGGGAAAGGCGAAAAGAACCCCGGCGAGGGGAGUGAAAAAGAACCUGAAACCGUGUACGUACAAGCAGUGGGAGCACGCUUAGGCGUGUGACUGCGUACCUUUUGUAUAAUGGGUCAGCGACUUAUAUUCUGUAGCAAGGUUAACCGAAUAGGGGAGCCGAAGGGAAACCGAGUCUUAACUGGGCGUUAAGUUGCAGGGUAUAGACCCGAAACCCGGUGAUCUAGCCAUGGGCAGGUUGAAGGUUGGGUAACACUAACUGGAGGACCGAACCGACUAAUGUUGAAAAAUUAGCGGAUGACUUGUGGCUGGGGGUGAAAGGCCAAUCAAACCGGGAGAUAGCUGGUUCUCCCCGAAAGCUAUUUAGGUAGCGCCUCGUGAAUUCAUCUCCGGGGGUAGAGCACUGUUUCGGCAAGGGGGUCAUCCCGACUUACCAACCCGAUGCAAACUGCGAAUACCGGAGAAUGUUAUCACGGGAGACACACGGCGGGUGCUAACGUCCGUCGUGAAGAGGGAAACAACCCAGACCGCCAGCUAAGGUCCCAAAGUCAUGGUUAAGUGGGAAACGAUGUGGGAAGGCCCAGACAGCCAGGAUGUUGGCUUAGAAGCAGCCAUCAUUUAAAGAAAGCGUAAUAGCUCACUGGUCGAGUCGGCCUGCGCGGAAGAUGUAACGGGGCUAAACCAUGCACCGAAGCUGCGGCAGCGACGCUGAUGCGUUGUUGGGUAGGGGAGCGUUCUGUAAGCCUGCGAAGGUGUGCUGUGAGGCAUGCUGGAGGUAUCAGAAGUGCGAAUGCUGACAUAAGUAACGAUAAAGCGGGUGAAAAGCCCGCUCGCCGGAAGACCAAGGGUUCCUGUCCAACGUUAAUCGGGGCAGGGUGAGUCGACCCCUAAGGCGAGGCCGAAAGGCGUAGUCGAUGGGAAACAGGUUAAUAUUCCUGUACUUGGUGUUACUGCGAAGGGGGGACGGAGAAGGCUAUGUUGGCCGGGCGACGGUUGUCCCGGUUUAAGCGUGUAGGCUGGUUUUCCAGGCAAAUCCGGAAAAUCAAGGCUGAGGCGUGAUGACGAGGCACUACGGUGCUGAAGCAACAAAUGCCCUGCUUCCAGGAAAAGCCUCUAAGCAUCAGGUAACAUCAAAUCGUACCCCAAACCGACACAGGUGGUCAGGUAGAGAAUACCAAGGCGCUUGAGAGAACUCGGGUGAAGGAACUAGGCAAAAUGGUGCCGUAACUUCGGGAGAAGGCACGCUGAUAUGUAGGUGAAGCGACUUGCUCGUGGAGCUGAAAUCAGUCGAAGAUACCAGCUGGCUGCAACUGUUUAUUAAAAACACAGCACUGUGCAAACACGAAAGUGGACGUAUACGGUGUGACGCCUGCCCGGUGCCGGAAGGUUAAUUGAUGGGGUCAGCGCAAGCGAAGCUCUUGAUCGAAGCCCCGGUAAACGGCGGCCGUAACUAUAACGGUCCUAAGGUAGCGAAAUUCCUUGUCGGGUAAGUUCCGACCUGCACGAAUGGCGUAAUGAUGGCCAGGCUGUCUCCACCCGAGACUCAGUGAAAUUGAACUCGCUGUGAAGAUGCAGUGUACCCGCGGCAAGACGGAAAGACCCCGUGAACCUUUACUAUAGCUUGACACUGAACAUUGAGCCUUGAUGUGUAGGAUAGGUGGGAGGCUUUGAAGUGUGGACGCCAGUCUGCAUGGAGCCGACCUUGAAAUACCACCCUUUAAUGUUUGAUGUUCUAACGUGGACCCGUAAUCCGGGUUGCGGACAGUGUCUGGUGGGUAGUUUGACUGGGGCGGUCUCCUCCUAAAGAGUAACGGAGGAGCACGAAGGUUGGCUAAUCCUGGUCGGACAUCAGGAGGUUAGUGCAAUGGCAUAAGCCAGCUUGACUGCGAGCGUGACGGCGCGAGCAGGUGCGAAAGCAGGUCAUAGUGAUCCGGUGGUUCUGAAUGGAAGGGCCAUCGCUCAACGGAUAAAAGGUACUCCGGGGAUAACAGGCUGAUACCGCCCAAGAGUUCAUAUCGACGGCGGUGUUUGGCACCUCGAUGUCGGCUCAUCACAUCCUGGGGCUGAAGUAGGUCCCAAGGGUAUGGCUGUUCGCCAUUUAAAGUGGUACGCGAGCUGGGUUUAGAACGUCGUGAGACAGUUCGGUCCCUAUCUGCCGUGGGCGCUGGAGAACUGAGGGGGGCUGCUCCUAGUACGAGAGGACCGGAGUGGACGCAUCACUGGUGUUCGGGUUGUCAUGCCAAUGGCACUGCCCGGUAGCUAAAUGCGGAAGAGAUAAGUGCUGAAAGCAUCUAAGCACGAAACUUGCCCCGAGAUGAGUUCUCCCUGACUCCUUGA
rnacentral:rRNA from 1 species